UACGAAGGGGGCUAGCGUUGUUCGGAAUUACUGGGCGUAAAGCGCGCGCAGGCGGUCUUCCAAGUCAGUGGUGAAAGCCCGGAGCUCAACUCCGGAACUGCCAUUGAAACUGUGAGACUUGAGUAUGAGAGAGGUGAGUGGAAUUCCCAGUGUAGAGGUGAAAUUCGUAGAUAUUGGGAAGAACACCGGUGGCGAAGGCGGCUCACUGGCUCAUUACUGACGCUGAGGCACGAAAGCUAGGGGAGAAAACAGG
rnacentral:rRNA from 1 species